rnacentral:rRNA from 1 species
UACAGAGGGGGCAAGCGUUAUUCGGAAUUAUUGGGCGUAAAGGGCGCGUAGGCGGCCUGGCAAGUGGAAGGUGAAAUCCCUCGGCUUAACCGAGGAACUGCCCUCCAAACUGCUUGGCUUGAGUUCGGGAGAGGUGAGUGGAAUUCCCAGUGUAGCGGUGAAAUGCGUAGAUAUUGGGAGGAACACCAGUGGCGAAGGCGGCUCACUGGACCGGAACUGACGCUGAUGCGCGAAAGCGUGGGGAGCAAACGGG